ACAGACUACAUUUUCUUAGAAUAUUAUCUUCUUAGAAAAAUGAUAGUAUCUUCUAUAUGAGUGAGUGACAGACACCUUUCCCAUCAGGGAAAGAUAAUAAAUAGUAUGUAUGUGAGUAUAAGGAAGAUCUGGUUAAAGAUUUUUCCAAUGUUGUAAUAUGUUCAAGAAAUAAAAAGUUUGUUUCAUAUAUUCUUUGACAAUCUUUUGUGCCAAUGAAAAAUGGGAUCUUCAGCCUUAACGGAGAAAGGACAGAACAGUAGCCUAAGAUAGUGAGUCAUAAUAGGCUAAAAAGUUCUUCAUAGCCAGAAGGAGAAGCACUACGGUGUUGAUACAGCUAACAUAAAAGAAAGUCGAAAGGAAACAAGUUUACAAAGUAAUAAGCUGGCAAGGGAUCAGGAUUUGGUUGAAUUAAGUUUCGAACCUGAACAACUUUACCAUCAGCAAAGGAGAGAAGCAAUAUUUCUCCCCCAAAUUCCUCAAAUCGCAGAAGACCAAGUAGAUCCUACUAUAAUGGUUGCAGAACUACUAUCAUGUGGGACAGUUAGAGAAGGGGCAAUCCCACUUCCAACGAACUUGAAUUCCCCAAUUCUAAGACCAACAAUUGGGGGAAAUUUUGAGUUGAAACACAAUAUGAUGCAGCUUCUUAUUAGCAGUGGACAGUUUGCAGGGCAUCCACAUGACGAUCACAAGUCCACUUGCAAAAUUUUAUUAAGCUUACUAACACAUUCACUCAAACUUGGAUGACUCCAAAUUAUGUGAGGCUGACACUGUUUCCCUAUUCUCUAUUGGGGGAAUCAAAAGGAAGGUUGAAGGCAAAGCCGGCCGAUUUAAUCACUUCAUGGGACAACUUAGCUAGAAAAUUCCUCAUCAUAUUUUUUCCUUCUAGCAAGACUACGAGACUUCGUAGUGAGAUAGUGAGUUUUAAGCAAAAAUUAGAUAAAAAUCUCUAUCAUGAAUAGGAACACUUCAAAGCCCUUUUUCGGGAUUGUCCACACCACCAACUGUCCAAUGAGGUACUUGCUCAUACUUUUUUAGAAGCUCUUGAUCAAAAUAUGAAAAUUUUACUAGAUUCAGCCGCAAGUGGUCAAGCGUUGGAGCUAACUUAUGAUGAGUUGUACACAUUGUUGAACCACAUAGCAUAAGGAAAUCUAGAGUGGUAUUUAAAUUCUAAAAGUGCCACAAAAAGAA